rnacentral:lncRNA from 1 species
UGGGGGCUCAACGAAAGCAGCGGAUGUAGCAGGUUCUUAGGCAAGGCCCCCACUGAUGAGAGCCUCUGGCUGUGGGCCAGGCUCAGGCGGCCUCAGCCCACAGCACAGGUCCCAGCUGAACUGCAAGCUGCUGUCCCACCGUCCCCAGCUCAGAGCAAAGCAGAAACUCGAAGCAGACGCUGCUCCCCAAAAGCAGCACCCCAAAAGAUGCUGGGGCAGGCGCCAUGGGCAAGGCUGUCUCCUUCUGGCCCUGCCGUCCUGCUGCUGGUGCUCUCUGCCAGCAUGACCUGCCAGAACAUCUGCAGCUCCCCAGGUACUCGUGAGUCCUUCCCUCCCAGACCCUGCGCACUUGGAAGCCCAACCACUGUGAGCUGUGCCCUAUGGCAGCCCUUCACUGCUGUGUCUCCUGCAGGGGAUCUCCCAGCUCCUGCUCUCCAAAUGAACUCAAGUUCUGCUCAGCCAGGUACCACUGUUGUGCUCCAGUGUAUUCUCCAUGUGGUGUCACAUGCAAGACGAAUCAUCAUCUGCAAGGAUGGGAAGGAGGUGUACAGCCAGAAAGCCCAUGAAGGGCAGCUGAGCUACUCCCUGGUCCUGAACAUCACGUCAAGUACUGCAGGAAUAUAUACCUGUGGGUACCAGGAGUGGAAUGAGAUGAAACACAAGAGGAGCUCUGCCCUCAAUGCUGGCCAAAUCCUGGAUGUCCCCGGUGCAGCUGCUGGCGUGACCACCCAGGACAUCGGCAGCUCCCCAGGCAAUGUGGUGAGUUCCCCAGCAAGUCCAUCAACCACAGGUGAGUGAUUCCCUCCUACACCCCCAGAAACCCGAGAAUGGGGAGUGGGUGUGCUGUGCUGCCAUCCCCAGGGCAUGGGGACAAACAGGAGCUUUACCAGGCAGGAGCUGUGCCAGGUGCAGGGGCACGUCCUGCUCCCUGCCUCUCCCCAUCACACCCCACUGCCCUCACACACUCUCUCCCACAGCUCCCCAUGCCCGGAUCCAGCAUGCCCUCCCCACAGGCACGGUGCUGGCAGUGACGGCCGUCGGCCUCAUCCUCCUGUCUGCAGGCAGCUGGUUUGCCAUCAGGAAAGGUGAGGGAGUGGGGGAAUGUGGGGGGAAGGCUGAGGACAUGGGGGUCCUGCUGCAGGGCUGGUGCAGUGGGAAAGGUGGUGGGGGAACCUGGGGGUGCACAGCUGGGGCAGACGGUGCCUGGGGGCGAUGGCUGUGGGCAGCUCAGCUGGGGAGGCUCCCGAGGGAGCUGGGGAGCUUCAGCCUUUGUCCCCCAGCCCCAAGAUGAG